AAGGCCGCACAAACUCACCACGAC
rnacentral:siRNA from 1 species